rnacentral:misc_RNA from 1 species
AAAGUAUGACCUAACAUCAGAUAGAUUUGGUUUGUUUGCCAAGCUUAUGUUUGGUUGUCUCAGAUCAUUAGGGUCUUUGACAUUACAUCAUAUGGGCGUAUAGCUCAGCCGGUUAGAGUGCACCCCUGAUAAGGGUGAGGUCCCAGGUUCAAGUCCUGGUAUGCCCACCAUCUAUAGAUAGAUGAACAACUAAGACUUAAUUCAAGUUCUUUAAAGAAGAGCUUGAAUUAGGUUUUACCUAAAUGUUAUUUAACUUAUUAUUGUUAAGAGUCUAACGUAAUGCUGCGAAGUGGAGAUACCAAUAUCAAAACUUUACAAAUUACAAUGUAACAGAAAAUUAUCAGCAAUGAUAAUCUUUCAUGUGCAAUAACUCAUCAGAAGAUAGAGAUAUCUUCAAGCUUAUUAUUAUUAAAGAAAGAUGAAUCAUAGUAAUAUGACUCAAUUGCAUUUAAUACGGUAGUACCUUAGAAUUAAAUAAAUGAAUCUAAGGGCAGAUGGUGGAUGCCUAGACCAGGAGAGGCGAUGAAGGACGUACUAGGCUGCGAUAAGCCACGGGGAGCUGCCAAGAAGCUUUGAUCCGUGGAUUUCCGAAUGGGGCAACCCGGCAUGUAGUGAUGCAUGUCACCCUUAGGGGGGCGAACGUAGGGAAGUGAAACAUCUCAGUACCUAUAG